UUCCUAAUUGCUGGCUUGUGAAACUGUGAAAAUGGAAAGAAUGGGGAACCUCAGCAGAGCCGCCUUUGCCCUGCCCUGAAGAGCUGCAGCCACAGCCUUUCAUGGGGAGGAAAAGGCUCCAGAAGCCACCACUUUCCCAAAGGAAGGAGGUGGCAAAAUGUCUGGAGCCUCAUCUUGCAGAGCCUUGGAAGGGCCAAAAGUUGCUUCCUUUUCCAGGUCACCGCCAGGUUGUAGAAGGUACAAUUUUCCAGCAUCCAAACAAGGAAAUGCCGGGCAUUUCCAGGAGGAGAAGCACAGGGAUGACAGGGCUUCCCCCCAAACCACUCCCUGGGUAAUUGCUGAAGACAUUCCAAGCCACUCUAACGAAGUGCACUGUCUGCCAGUCAUUAUGUUCUCCUUGGAAGCCCAUCUGUUGCACUUCAGAUGUGGAAAGGUCUGCUCUCAGUUCCUGCUCCAAACAAAUCCACUCCUUUGUCUGAUGGGCUGCAGCUCCUCAGUGGGCACUAGAAGUGGUUUCAGUCACACGGGGCAGGAUGUUCAGGAUAUUCCCUGUAAGUGAAAGGUGCUCAUUCAGCUCCAGUUUCAGAGCACAAACAGGUAUUAAACUAAUUUCAGUGCUUUUGAAUAAUUUCAAUUUAUUUGGCAACAAAUUAUGAACAACAACAACAACAACAAUCUGAGAUGUAUUUUCUGUUAGCUCAGCCAGAAGCACACUGUAAGAUUUUUGCUUCUGGUGAACAAACCUUUCCAUUGUAGUGGUACCCAGACUUGAUACACCCUGACAUUUGAAUCAACAUGAUGCUAUUUUAGCUAAAUUGUUUAAUUAGCUUAUUUGUGUCUGAAACUAGCCAUUCAGAGAAACUUUCAGUGCUGAAAAAUAGGGUCAGCAGCUCCAAAUGCAAGGACUUUUCUUCUGGUAAACACGUGUCCUUUCCAGGGAUGUAACAAACACUUUCCUGCACAGUCUUUAUUUAUGAGUUAACUGGGAUCUUUUCCAUGAAUUAAAUGAGCAAGAUGAGGCAUUAAAUGAUGAUUUCUCUUUGUUUUUCCUGCUGCAGAUUUUAAAGAGGCUGCACAGUCCCCUCCUCUCAGCUCGGGGAACACAAGCAUUGGAUUUUCCCAGCAGAGAAGUUCUGUUCAGAGCUUUCCAGCCAGAGCAAUUUCUGUGUGAUUAGGGAGUGGUCCUAUCUUUGUCCCUGGGGUUUUUUUCCCUCUUUCCCUUCUCCUCCCUGCACAGCAGUUAAUGUGCUGGUCAGGAGGAAUAAUAUGGUAGAUCUUGAAUGUCAGGAGCCCCCGAGAUCCUGACAAGACCAUUCAUGUGCAUUCAUACGUCUUAACCAGAGCUGACACUAAAGAGAGCAAGAAUCCUCAUAUUCCUCUUUUUAUUGCUGGGCAUUAAGCUCCCAUCUUCUCCUGGAGACCUCUGCUGAAAAAUGACAUAUUCCCCAUUUGGAAAAAAAGGCAGAACAAAGCAGCUGGACAUCAGCGUGGCCCAGGGCAGAAGCUCCCACAGUUUGGUUUACACCCCAGUUCUGGGCACCUAAAAAUACUCAUGGGGGACAAACAGUCUUUUUUUUUGUUGUUGUUGUUGUAAUUUUCCUAUUAAAAAUUAAGUGGUCUUCUAAUUCCUUGGAAACCUUGUAGGAGUGCUGGUAACUCGAGGUGGAUGUUUUCUGAGAAACACCCCCUGUGUGAAUGUUCUGCUCUCCCCUUUACCCCAGACACAUUUUACACAUACCUGCACUACAAUUUACAGCACGUGUCUGGGUAAUUCUGCACUCAUCUGCUGGUGUUGUUAAAGCCAGGUAGGCAAAUUUUACAGCAAUAAUGAUCAUUUCAAUCUUCUUUUUUGCAGCUGUUUGGUGGCACAGUGGCUAACACAGCCUGGGUGGCUCUGGGCACCUCGCCAUUCUCAGGUAGUUUAAUUCGUUAAAAAUCACCUUUCCUCCCACCCAAAUCCCCUGGAAACCAUUUGGAGAAGAGAAGUGUUGGACAGUUGCCAAUAAUAAGUCCUGCUGAGACCUCGGUAUCCUCCUGAUAGAACUGGUGGUGCCAACCAGGGACUGACUGGCACGAGUUUGAACUCUGCACUGCCUGAUGAAUCUGCUUCCCAUGGACCAAUUACAGCAAUUCCCACCUCUGCAGCUGAACUCCAAGCUCCUGGUCUUCCCUUCAUACCUCAGGUUGUUGGCAACGUGCUCAGUCCUACAAUCUCAGUUUUCUCUCAGUAAUUAAGUAGGAGGUAAAUACUUUUUCAAAGUAGGAGAGAGCCUGAGUGGAAAUCAAAGGCUGAAUAGUGUCAUUAUUUUUCAUGUUGCUGUUGUUAAGCUGCAUUUCUUGCCAUUUAAUCUUCAUUUCAUCUUUUUAAGUUUUUUGCAGAGCUUCACCACAAGGUGCUGUAGUGCAUUGACUUUUAUAUUCAACAGUGGAGUGUCUUUUAACGUGAAUGAAAGAGCAAUAAGAAUUCCUACUUUUUUUGUUCUGAUGGGUUUAAAAAUAUAAAUAUUCCUUUCAAAAAAAUUUUUUUGACCAAAGUGGAAAAUCAUCCAUCCUUUACUCCUUUUGGCUGGAUGAUUCCAUGGGAAAUAGGGGUGUAACACCAGGAUGAGAGACUGGCAUUAACUGCCCAGUUCCUGACAAUUCCACUGCUUUCCAUCUGAUGCAACAGGGACCAUCUUGCCCUUGCCCCUGUUGUCUUUCCAAGAGAGUAGUUAAUUUUUAAAUUGGAGCAGCAGCAGGAGAGGUUUUUUUAACCAGUGAAGUUUCUAUUCCACAAAGAUAAAGCCAAGAUCGAGCACAAACUGACUUGCCUGUAGCUUUCCUAAUAUGAUUGUGCUGCACAGUGCAGAUACUAAAAUUUAUAUUAAAAAUUCUCCAUGCAGUUUCCCUCCAGGGAGAGGGAGAGGGAAGGGAAAGGCUACAUGUGACAGAUGCUAAUUAUGCAGCUUAAUGCACUUCUGGAAGUUGCAGAGAUGGGAACUCUGCAAAAACCCAGCCAUGAAACAAAGCGUAUUUUCGACAGCGUUUUUUUUCCACGGUGCUUUUGUUUUCAUCUGCCUCCUCCCCCUUUUCCAGGAGGCUUCAUUUCCCAAGAAGAGCAUGCACAGUAUUAUUCAAAGGGCAAGUGAUGUCCGAGGUCUGGAAUUUGCCCAGUGUGGAUCUGACUGUUCUCCACUGUGUCCUCCUGCUCUGGAGGGCUGGACCUGGAAUUGGGAAAGCUGGUGGCUCCUGAUUAAGAACUCUCCAGCUGAUGUGUUAGUUUUCUUUCCUCUUUUGUUGAUGUUUUAAUAAUAUUUGGGUUUACUGGGAGAACUGUGUUCUGCACGUGGCUGUGCUGGGAUCCUGUGGAAGGAUUUAUUGUGAUGAACACGUCAGGACCGAUGAACUGGAUCCCAAACUGAGGCACUCAGGCUGGGCUCCUCCAAACUGGGAGGUGAAAAGCCAAAACCAGUGUUAGACACUGAUUCUCUCUCCCAGACACUGAGCUGUGCUGUUUGAGGCUAAAGAAGUGGAUUUCCAGCCAGGGAAAACUUGGUGCCAUCCUGAAAUCAGUGGGGACAUUCAAGAGCCCCCACUGAGCCAUCGUGCCGGAUUUCAUUCCCUCAACCAAAUCCCAGGAUUCUUUUCCCUCUUAGAGGUAAAAACCCCACCAGCUCUUGAGCACUAAUGCCAAAGGCUGCUUGCUUUUAUUUCCCUCAAAGCCUGGGAUUUCUCCUUCGGGACUGGUGACUUCCCACCCUCCCUCUGUGCGGGGUGACCAUCGCGCCAUCGACGGCGCCGCGACUUCCGAGGGCUUGGCGUGGCCCUGGGCAGCCUUGGAGGAGCAGGUUUGGAUGGAAUCCUCCUCUUGCCAUGGUCUUCAUGUGCAGCCAGCACGGAGAAAACCAUCUGUUCCCCCUGGAAGGGCUUUGGUUCCGGCCCUGCCCCCGGUCCCGCUCCGUCCGCAGCUGCCGUUGCGAUGAGCAGCGACUCCCCUGCGUUAAAAAUACCCAGGGUCUGCUUGCAUGACAAGAAGGAUCUUGCUUGCCUACACUGGCACCCAAAAA